rnacentral:rRNA from 1 species
UACGAAGGGGGCUAGCGUUGCUCGGAAUCACUGGGCGUAAAGCGCACGUAGGCGGCUUCUUAAGUCAGAGGUGAAAUCCUGGAGCUCAACUCCAGAACUGCCUUUGAUACUGAGAGGCUUGAGUCCGGGAGAGGUGAGUGGAACUGCGAGUGUAGAGGUGAAAUUCGUAGAUAUUCGCAAGAACACCAGUGGCGAAGGCGGCUCACUGGCCCGGUACUGACGCUGAGGUGCGAAAGCGUGGGGAGCAAACAGG